AUUGGAGAAAAAAUAUUUUGGGUUCAACAUUCUACCCACUUUCAACAAAAUUUCAUCCUCUAAACUUACGUACCUUGUUAAAAAAGAGAUGCAGUUUGCGAUCAAAUAGGAUGUUUGUUUGGGGGAUUGUUCUUUUUGGUGGGAUAAUUGGUCGAGUUUGGGUCCGUUGGCUUGGUUGGUUGAUCACCAUGAGGAGGAUUUUCAGAUGUAAUGACUUGAACUUCAUCAAGUUCGGGUAAUUUUACCAUGAGCACAGUAUAUCAUUUGGUAAGGAUUUCCACCGUAUGGUCGUAUGUUUUUUCACAUAUUUGGAAUGCCACAUUACCGUUAAAAGUUUUAUUUCUUUAUGUGGUGUUUUCUUUAGUUUAAGCUACCUUGGGCAAUAUUCUUACUCGGUUUCAUGUUUUUGGACCAUCUAAGUGUCUUUAUUGUUAUGAUCCGAUCGUCGAGACGUUGGAUCAUGUGUUUGUUUCGUGAUGUUUGGCAAUCCAGGUAUGGGAAUAUGUUGCAAAGCCUUUAGGUAUUCAUAUGGCUUUUAUUUUGGUUAGUGAAUUAUGUCAGGCUUGGUGGUUUAUGAAGGUGGAGGGGGCUGCUAUUAGAUGGUUGAUGCAGGUUACACCUCUACUUAUUUUUUGGCAUCUAUGGAAAGCACGGAAUAAGGCCAAGUUCGAGGGAAUUUGUAUAGAUUCUUCUUGGGUUAGUGGAGGUAUGGUUUAUGAGGCGCGACUGCUUUGUUCUGUUUUGUUUCCAGGCAAGUUUUUCCUUUUGUCUUGGAUGGAUAUAGUUAGUCAGCUUUCUAAUUCUCCAGUUAAUUUGGUAGCGCGGCUGGUGAGAUGGAAUUUUCCGGAUGAAGAUUGGAUUAAAUUAAAUUUUGAUGGUUCCUCAGAUUUGGUAGCUGGGAUUAGUGGUGGAGGAGGUGUGGCACGGGAUUGUACUGGUGGUUUCUUGUUUGCUUUUUCGGAUUCUUUUGGUAAUUUUGAUGCUUUGCGUGCCUGCUUUGGCUUUGUUGCGAGGGUAACAACUUUAAAAAAAGGCUGGUUUUGAAAUUUUGUGAGUGGAAAUGGAUUCUACGAUCAUGGUAAAUAUAUUAGCUAAAGGCAUGACUAUACCGGCUAGAUU